GAUGAACGCUAGCGGCAGGCCUAACACAUGCAAGUCGAGGGGUAACUAGAGUGAUAGCAAUAUUACUUUGGCUAGACCGGCGCACGGGUGCGUAACACGUAUGCAACCUACCUUAUACUGGGGAAUAACUUCGAGAAAUCGGCGCUAAUACCCCAUAACACUGCGGAGAGGCAUCUCUUUGCAGUUAAAGCUCCGGCGGUAUAAGAUGGGCAUGCGUCCAAUUAGCUAGUUGUUGAGGUAACGGCUCACCAAGGCUACGAUUGGUAGGGGUUCUGAGAGAAUGAUCCCCCACACUGGUACGGGGACACGGACCAGACUCCUACGGGAUGCAGCAGUGAGGAAUAUUGCGCAAUGGACGAAAGUCUGACGCAGCCAUGCCGCGUGCAGGAUGACGGCCCUAUGGGUUGUAAACUGCUUUUGUACGGGAAUAAACCCUUCUACGUGUAGGAGGCUGAAGGUACCGUAAGAAUAAGCACCGGCUAACUCCGUGCCAGCAGCCGCCGUAA
rnacentral:rRNA from 1 species